UACGGAAGGCAGCAGUGGGGAAUAUUGCACAAUGGGCGAAAGCCUGAUGCAGCUAUGCCGCGUGUAUGAAGAAGGCCUUAGGGUUGUAAAGUACUUUCAUCGGGGAGGAAAAACAAAACUAAUAAUUUUAUUUCUUGACGUUACCCGAAAAAGAAGCACCGGCUAACUCCGUGCCAGCAGCCGCGGUAAUACGGAGGGUGCUAGCGUUAAUCAGAAUUACUGGGCGUAAAGAGCACGUAGGUGGUUUUUUUAAAGUCAGAUGUGAAAUCCCCUGGGCUUUAACCUAGGAACUGCAUUUUGAAACUGAAAUACUAGAGUAUCGUAGAGGGAGGUAGAAUUCUAGGUGUAGCGGUGAAAUGCGUAGAUAUCUGGAGGAAUACCUGUGGCGAAAGCGGCCUCCUAAACGAAUACUGACACUGAGGUGCGAAAGCGUGGGGAGCAAACAGGGAUUAGAUACC
rnacentral:rRNA from 1 species